ensembl:lncRNA
GACUCAUUCUGUUUUCCCUUCCACAUCACGCCCUCAAUCCAUGAAUCUAUGGACUCUCUCUCUCCCCUUCUCUCUCCCCCAGAUGUAUUGUUUUCUUCAUUGAUGUUGUCAAUCAGUUUUUUCUUAGUGAAGGUAUGGAGCCCCCCCCCCCUUUUCUGAAUCUAUACAUUGAGAUUAAUUAGUCUUUUCUAGGAACAGACAAAGGCUAAAUUACUGUAAUGCAAGAACAGUAUAACAAGACUACCAGAGCUCCAUUAUGGUGUAGAUUGCAGAAAAAUGAAUUUCCUCCUGUGUUCAAAGCACAUGGAAGUAAUUAUAAAAUGAUAUAAUUGUUAAAAUAAGUUUCAACGUAAACAAUGUAAAUAAAUAACAGUCCAUAUAAAAACAGACGUGAGGCAAUAUAAUGCCAUUUGUUUUAGAUGUCUCUACUGAAACAACAUAUUUUUUAAUGCAAAUUUAUAUGUGAAAUAAUAAUAAUAAUAUUGUGAAAAUAAGGACACAAAUGGUGCAGUUUCUGUAGAAACUAUGCAUAUAAAAUCAGGAAAAAAAAUCACAGAUAGAACUUUUGAUAUUCUGUUUAGUGUCUAAUUAAUAUAUAUUUUUUUAUUUUCUUCUUCUUCUUAAAAACAAAUAUAUCAUUAUGAGAAGUCAAGACCUUAAUGCAGUAAGGGGCAUUUAAGAGGGACAUUGGCUUUACACUUAGCUCUCUUUCUUUAGCUUAGUCCUACUGUACCAGAUAGAGAACUUAAAUGUUUCCAUUUAACCUUCAAAUAAGCACCAGGUCACCGACCUGAGUUUAUUUAUUUAUUUUUUUUUUUUAAUUAAAAGCUUAAGACAUAUUAAUCUUAACCUGAAGUAUUUAAAGUCGUUUUUAUAAAUACGACAUUCCAUAUGUUCACUGUUUUGUGCUCUGAAGGGUCUUCAGUAAAGGGAGCAUGUGACAUGUCAGAGAAAGCCGCUCUAGAGCAGUUCUCCAGUGGUCUGACUGAAUUAGAAUUAGGCACAGAUGAGGUUUUCGUCAUCGCCUCUGCACCCAUCUCAGCCCAUCUGCCCUUCUCUCCACAUACUCAACGAGAGCGUUUUCUGAGGCACAGUGACACGGGACCCAGCCGUCCCUUCGAUUGGCCGACUCCAGACCAAGCACUGCCUUCUAUGACAAAGAGCAGCCAGGCCGGAUCGACAAACAGCACGCGACCACGAGCAUGGAGUGUCCGAACCUUCCAGGAUCUCCUUCCUCCUCUUCCUCAACUCCAUAAGAAAUGGUGCAGCUGGAACUCUACCAGCCCAUUCACCAAGCUGGUGGACAGUGGACUCCCAAGCACUCCUACAGAUUCUGGAAGGGGAAAGGUCCUAUCUGAUGCUCCUCUUCACAGUCCUGCCGACAGCUGCCAGUCCGACUCCUUCACGAGUAACGCCUCUUACCCCCUGACUCAACCCACCCAGCGCCAGCGACGCCUCAACUCCACCAGCAACCUCAGACGCUCACGGUUCAACGCUCCCUGCUUCGGCUUGCUCGAGUCCUCCAAAGCACAAGCCAAUGGACUUAUGACCCCAAACACGCUCUCAGAUACCAGCCAGCUGCAGGUCAAAGGUCAAAUAUCAAGCCUUGCGGAUGACCACGUCACUGUACCAGUGUUUGCCAUCUCAGAAGAGGAAGACCGACAACCUCUAGUCUCAGAAGAGCAUCCCGAGAAGCCUUCGCGGAUGAAAGGACAGAUGUUUGAAGGCGCAAAGAUGCCGCUGUUAUCAAAAAGCCAGGCUCCCAGCAUCCACCCGAGCUCUUUAGUGAGGGGAGGCCGUGGUGGCGCGUCGGGGACGCAGGAUCUUUCAGCUCUCUCUUGUUAACAGUGACUCCAGAAACAAAGUCUGCCAUUACCAUGAAGUUUGCGUAUGAUGGUCAUGUGACCAUUUCAGCCAAUAAAUGAUCUCAACAGGACUGAAAACUCA